GUGCCAGCCGCCGCGGUAAAACCAGCUCUUCGAGUGGUGUCCACGAUUAUUGAGCUUAAAGCGUCCGUAGCCGGCUUAGCAAGUCUCCUGUUAAAUUCAGCGACCUAAUCGUUGAGCCGCGGGAGAUACUACUAGGCUAGGAGGCGGGAGAGGUCGACGGUACUUCCGGGGUAGGGGUGAAAUCCUAUAAUCCCGGGAGGACCACCAGGGGCGAAGGCUGUCGACUAGAACGCGCUCGACGGUGAGGGACGAAAGCUGGGGGAGCGAACCGGAUUAGAUACCCGGGUAGUCCCAGCCGUAAACGAUGCGGGCUAGGUGUUGGAGUGGCUACGUGCCACUUCAGUGCCGCAGGGAAGCCAUUAAGCCCGCCGCCUGGGGAGUACGGCCGCAAGGCUGAAACUUAAAGGAAUUGACGGGG
rnacentral:rRNA from 1 species